rnacentral:lncRNA from 1 species
AAAAACAUUAAGCUUCUGUGAAUUCAUAAAUUUGGUUGUGAAUUUAAGAACAUUAAAAAAAUAAUUAUACAGCUCAAUCAAAUUGCUGUACAACACCAAAAUACAACAACUCAAUCUACCAUCAAAAUACAUCAAUUCCUCUAAAUCAACAAUCAAAAAUACAACACAAUAUUAUCCGAAUCAAUUCAAUUUACAAUCAAAAUCCAUUCUUAAGAAAGUGUAGAGUCACCAAAACCAAGCUAAAUCAAAUCUAAGCACACGCCGAUUUUCGAUCUAAAAUCUCGGAAUUCAUCGCCGGGAUCCUGCUGCCGGGAUCGGAACUGCUCUCGCUCCGAGGCUUCAACAAAUGCUUCGAUCUGAUCCACGCAACAAACACAGCCUUGGCGGAGCUAGCCAUCCAGAUACCGACUACCCGAUGCCACAGUGNAUUAUAAUAAAAUUCUAAAUAUAAUUAAAACAUAAUUUAAGAUAAAUAUAUUUUAGUUUAAUAUAAAAUAAUAAAGAAUAAAUCAUAUUAAUAAAAAUGAUAUUGUAAAAAAAGAAAACAAUAUAAGUUAAAAAAUAAUUGAAAAAAAAAAAGAUUUAUUGAAAAAAAGAAGAGAGAGGAGAGAGAAUUUUCUUAAGUCCCAAUAACUAUACAAAUAAAUAUAUGAGUGGAUUUUUAAAAUGGCCACUUUCAUAUUAUAAAGAUAAAAAUGUCCACUAAAAUAAAAACUUUAAAAAUGUCCACUGUUACCAAAAUACCCUUCACAUUAAAAAUUAAAAAAUGUCCACUUUACAUCACCCCUUUAAAAAAUCCCGCAAUUCACAACCAGUAUGAAUUCACAACCAAAAAUUUUUGGUUGUGAAUUGUGAAUUUCACAACCAAUCGAAUUCACAACCAUAAUUUUUUUGUUUGUUAAUUCACAACCAGUCGAAUUCACAAUCAAAAUUUAAUUGUGAAUUCACAACUGAACUGAACUGAAACACUAAACCCUAAACCAAAACCCUAGUUGUGAAUUAUUACAAUUGUGAAUUCACAACUGAACUGAAACAGUAAAUUCACAACUGAACUGAACGGAAACCGAAAACACAACAAACGAACUAAACACCUAAAAUUUAAUUCACAACCAGAAUUUUUUGGUUGUGAAUUAACAACCAGUCGAAUUCACAACCAGAAUUUAAUUCACAACCAGAAUUUAUUUUAGUUGUGAAUUCAAACAGAACUGAACCUAAAUUGAAAAAAACUGAACUCAAACUAAAACUACAAUAAACUGAAACCAUAAACCUAAACCCUAGUUGUGAAUUCAUAACGAUUGUGAAUUCAAGUAGUUGUGAAUUUCAUCGAGAAAGUUUGAAUUCACAACUAAAACUAAAAUUUAUUCUAAUUGUGAAUUCAAAAACAUUAAGUUGUGAAUUCAUACAUGUGAUCGUGAAUUCAAAAACAUUAAGUUGUGAAUUCAUAAAUUUGGUUGUGAAUUUAAGAAACAUUAAAAAAAUAAAUUAUACAGCUCAAUCAAAUUGCUGUACAACACCAAAAUACAACAACUCAAUCUACCAUCAAAAUACAUCAAUUCCUCUAAAUCAACAAUCAAAAUACAACACAAUAUUAUCCGAAUCAAUUCAAUUUACAAUCAAAAUCCAUUCUUAAGAAAGUGUAGAGUCACCAAAACCAAGCUAAAUCAAAUCUAAGCACACGCCGAUUUUCGAUCUAAAAUCUCGGAAUUCAUCGCCGGGAUCCUGCUGCCGGGAUCGGAACUGCUCUCGCUCCGAGGCUUCAACAAAUGCUUCGAUCUGAUCCACGCAACAAACACAGCCUUGGCGGAGCUAGCCAUCCAGAUCGACUACCCGAUGCCGCAGUGGGGCGCCGCCCUAACCGACGAGUAUCUCACCUGCACUUCCGACUUGCUCAGCCUCUCCAACUGAAGACGCCGGUGCGACGCGACGGACGGGCGGCGAGGACGAGAGAGAGAGAGCGUAGAGAGGGAGAUCUGGAUGGACACGCCGACGGGAUUGGACACGCCAUUGGAAUCUGGAUGGCUGGCGUCGUCGUCGGCGCUGCGAUGGCAGAGCACGGCUCGAUCGGGGAAAAUCGGCGAAGUCACCGUUAGGAUUGGACGCGCCGCUGGAAUCUGGAUGGUUUGCUUCGUCGUCGGCGCUGCAAUGGCGGAUCUGGCUUCCUACGCGGGGAUGGGCGGCGAGAGGGAGAGAGAGAGAGAGACGCCGAGAUUGAAGAUGAGGAGAGGAAGGCGCGGCGGCAACGCCGACGUCGCCAUCGCCGCCAUCGGCCGCCACCGCCGUGCUCCAGUCGAUCCGCCGCCUUAAUCGUCUCUGUGAGAGAGAGUGAGAGAGAGAGAGAGAGCGCGGGUGGGGGAGGAAUGAGAGAGAGAGAGACCGAGAAGAUAGGAGGGGGGCGAGAAUUGCCUAUUUUUAAGGAGGGGUAUUUCAGUCUUUUCACACAAAAACUGGCUAAAAUUUUAUGUUUUAAUUCUAUAGGCUAAAUUUUAAGUUUACAAUAUGAAAUAGGCUAGAUUCAUAUAUUGACACUAAAUAUAAAUUAAUUGUUUCAAAAUAUAAAUUAGAAUUAAUUUUACGUUUACGUGACAUAAAUUGUGGACCAUAUCCACCCAAUUGCAUUACAGAAAUCACACACCAACAAAUUUCCAAAUACAAACAUGAGUGCAAUAAAUAUCACCUCUCAUCAACUGCCGUUGAAAGUUUUGACGCCACAGCUGAAACUCGGCGCCUCAAAAAAAUAAAUGUGGAUGGCCCCUGCUACUUCAGCCAGCACAAUCACCAUUUAAAUUUCAAAAAAAUGAUAUCGAUC